rnacentral:snoRNA from 1 species
CUGGGAUGAUGAGAUUCCACUUCACUGGUCCGUGUUUCUGAGCCCCGUGAUCUGGUGGAAGUUCUGACUUG